rnacentral:rRNA from 1 species
AUUGAACGCUGGCGGCAUGCCUUACACAUGCAAGUCGAACGGCAGCACGGGUGCUUGCACCUGGUGGCGAGUGGCGAACGGGUGAGUAAUACAUCGGAACAUGUCCUGUAGUGGGGGAUAGCCCGGCGAAAGCCGGAUUAAUACCGCAUACGAUCUACGGAUGAAAGCGGGGGACCUUCGGGCCUCGCGCUAUAGGGUUGGCCGAUGGCUGAUUAGCUAGUUGGUGGGGUAAAGGCCUACCAAGGCGACGAUCAGUAGCUGGUCUGAGAGGACGACCAGCCACACUGGGACUGAGACACGGCCCAGACUCCUGCGGGAGGCAGCAGUGGGGAAUUUUGGACAAAGGGCGAAAGCCUGAUCCAGCAAUGCCGCGUGUGUGAAGAAGGCCUUCGGGUUGUAAAGCACUUUUGUCCGGAAAGAAAUCCUUGGCCCUAAUACGGUCGGGGGAUGACGGUACCGGAAGAAUAAGCACCGGCUAACUACGUG